rnacentral:misc_RNA from 1 species
UCCCCGUUUUCCGGGGCAGUCCCUGUAGAGUUCCCGGCAUAACCCGUUGGCAACUACAGGCGAGGGUUGCGCUCGUUGCGGGACUUAACCCAACAUCUCACGACACGAGCUGACGACAACCAUGCACCACCUGUGCACUGGCCCCGAAGGGCUGCCGUAUUUCUACGACAUUCCAGUGCAUGUCAAGCCUUGGUAAGGUUCUUCGCGUCGCGUCGAAUUAAACCACAUGCUCCACCGCUUGUGCGGGUUCCCGUCAAUUCCUUUGAGUUUCAGCCUUGCGGCCGUACUCCCCAGGCGGAGUGCUUAAUGCGUUAGCUGCAGCACUAAAGGGCGGAAACCCUCUAACACUUAGCACUCAUCGUUUACAGUGUGGACUAC